CUACGGGUGGCUGCAGUGGGGAAUAUUGCACAAUGGGCGCAAGCCUGAUGCAGCUAUGCCGCGUGUAUGAAGAAGGCCUUCGGGUUGUAAAGUACUUUCAGCGGGGAGGAAGGGAGUAAAGUUAAUACCUUUGCUCAUUGACGUUACCCGCAGAAGAAGCACCGGCUAACUCCGUGCCAGCAGCCGUGGUAAUACGGAGGGUGCAAGCGUUAAUCGGAAUUACUGGGCGUAAAGCGCACGCAGGCGGUUUGUUAAGUCAGAUGUGAAAUCCCCGGGCUCAACCUGGGAACUGCAUCUGAUACUGGCAAGCUUGAGUCUCGUAGAGGGGGGUAGAAUUCCAGGUGUAGCGGUGAAAUGCGUAGAGAUCUGGAGGAAUACCGGUGGCGAAGGCGGCCCCCUGGACGAAGACUGACGCUCAGGUGCGAAAGCGUGGGGAGCAAGCAGGAUUAGAUACCCCAGUAGUC
rnacentral:rRNA from 1 species